rnacentral:rRNA from 1 species
CAGCAGCCGCGGGAAUACAAAGGGUGCAAGCGUUACUCGGAAUUACUGGGCGUAAAGCGUGCGUAGGCGGUGAGUUAAGUCUGCUGUGAAAUCCCCGGGCUCAACCUGGGAACGGCAGUGGAUACUGGCUCGCUAGAGUGUGUCAGAGGAUGGUGGAAUUCCCGGUGUAGCGGUGAAAUGCGUAGAUAUCAGGAGGAACACCGGUGGUGUAAACGGCUUUCUGGACCAUAACUGACGCUGAGGCACGAAAGCGUGGGUAGCAAACAGGAUUAGAUACCCCAGUAGUCCCUGUCUCUUAUAC